rnacentral:rRNA from 1 species
UACAUGGGGUGCAAACGUUUGCUCGGAAUUAUUGGGCGUAAAGCGCACGUAGGCGGUUCGUUAAGUCGGAUGUGAAAGCCCUCGGCUCAACUGAGGAAGUGCGCCCGAAACUGCAGAGCUUGAGUACCGGAGAGGGUGGCGGAAUUCCCCAAGUAGAGGUGAAAUUCGUAGAUAUGGGGAGGAACACCGGUGGCGAAGGCGGCCACCUGGGACGGUCACUGACGCUGAAGAACGCGGAAGCAUGGG